AUGCGGUAUGACGGUACCCUUUCGAAUAAGAGGUUGCUAACUCUGUGCCAGCAGCAGCGGUAAUACAGAGACCUCGAGCGUUAUCCGGAUUUACUGGGCGUAAAAGCGUCUGUAGGGGGUUUGUUAAGUUCCAAAGUAAAAUCUUAAGGCUCAACUUUAAGUUCGCUUGGAAAACUAAUAAACUGGAGUCCAGCAGAGGUGCAUGGAACUUGCGGUGUAGGAGUGAAACCCGUUGAUAUCGCAAGGAACACCAAAGGCGAAGGCAUUGCACUGGGCUGGUACUGACCCUGAGAGACGAAAGCGUGGGGAGCAAAACGGAUUAGAUACCCGUGUAGUCCACGCCGUAAACGAUGGAUACUAGAUGUUCGGGGAUUCGACCCCCUGGGUGUCACAGCUAACGCGUUAAGUAUCCCGCCUGGGAAGUACGGCCGCAAGGCUAAAACUCAAAGGAAUAGACGGGGAUCCGCACAAGCGGUGGAGCGUCUGGUUUAAUUUGAUAGUAAGCAAUGGACCUCACCAAGGUUUGACAUCCUAUGACAACCCUGGAAACAGGGCUUCCUUCGGGCAUAGUGACAGGUGCUGCAUGGUCGUCGUCAGUUCGUGCCGUGAGGUGUUCCGUUAAGUCGGGAAACGAACGAAACCCUCGUCGCAUGUUACAAAUUUCAUGCGAGACUGCCCGGGUCAACCGGGAGGAAGGCGGGGAUGACGUCAGAUCAGCAUGGCCCUUAUACCUUGGGCUACACAGGCGCUACAAUGGCCGGUACAAAGGGUUGCAAAACCGCGAGGUGAAGCUAAUCCCAUAAAGCCGGUCCAAGUUCGGAUUGGAGGCUGCAACUCGCCUCCAUGAAGUUGGAAUCGCUAGUAAUCGUGGAUCAGCCAUACCACGGUGAUACGUUCCCGGAUCUUGUACUCACCGCCCGUCACACCAAGAGA
rnacentral:rRNA from 1 species